CAGCAGAUUCUUGGUCAGGCAAGAGCAAAUACCCACUCAGCCCACUUCAAACCUAGGAAGCAAAUGUGCAGGUACUGAUGCUGUUUGGCUCUCAGGCCAUCAGACAAUCUAAAAUAUUGAGAGAGGAAAUGCCAAGUGGUGUGGAAAUACAGAUGUGGCAGUGUGGGACCCCCAUGCAAGCUGAAACUCACCAACAAAUUGCUCAAAGAAGAUUGAUGUAUUUUCCAAGAAUUCUGAAUGCUUUUGAAACCUCAGGGAUGUGAUCCAACAAACAGUGGAUAGUUCUCCAGGAAUCUGCCUGCUUCUUCUGUCCUUGCUGUGGCAGUGAUCUGAUAGCACAUCUGAGUUAGUUCCAGAUAUGUAUAAAAAAGAGACCCAUAUAGCUCUGUUUCUGAUACAAAGAAUUAUAUAUAA
rnacentral:lncRNA from 1 species